CAAGGAUGGAAGAGGCCCUUGGGUCUGAGAACACGCACACAGUUAAGGCACUGCCACCUACUCAUGGCAUCUAACCAUUUUUAAUA
rnacentral:ncRNA from 1 species